GUCGACGAAGCAUUUAGAACAGAUUACUUCGGUUUGAAGUUCUUUAUGACUGAGUGGCGGACGGGUGAGUAACGCGUGGGUAACCUGCCUUGUACUGGGGGAUAGCAGCUGGAAACGGCUGGUAAUACCGCAUAAGCGCACAAUGUUGCAUGACAUGGUGUGAAAAACUCCGGUGGUAUAAGAUGGACCCGCGUCUGAUUAGCUAGUUGGUGAGAUAACAGCCCACCAAGGCGAUGAUCAGUAGCCGACCUGAGAGGGUGACCGGCCACAUUGGGACUGAGACACGGCCCAGACCCCUACGGGAGGCAGCAGUGGGGAAUAUUGCACAAUGGAGGAAACUCUGAUGCAGCGACGCCGCGUGAGUGAAGAAGUAAUUCGUUAUGUAAAGCUCUAUCAGCAGGGAAGAUAGUGACGGUACCUGACUAAGAAGCUCCGGCUAAAUACGUGCCAGCAGCCGCGGUAAUACGUAUGGAGCAAGCGUUAUCCGGAUUUACUGGGUGUAAAGGGAGUGUAGGUGGCCAUGCAAGUCAGAAGUGAAAAUCCGGGGCUCAACCCCGGAACUGCUUUUGAAACUGUAAGGCUAGAGUGCAGGAGGGGUGAGUGGAAUUCCUAGUGUAGCGGUGAAAUGCGUAGAUAUUAGGAGGAACACCAGUGGCGAAAGGCGGCUCACUGGACUGUAACUGAC
rnacentral:rRNA from 1 species